rnacentral:lncRNA from 1 species
GGUCACCAAGACCAUGGCGCUGCACUCUAAACUCAAUUAGAAAUUUAACAAACCUUAUAAAUCCUCCCUGGCCUGAGCCUUGUAAAUCUCCGGAGCGGGGCUGGCUUAGCACUUAUCCAUCUCCAGCUUAGUGACCUCCCCAGCCCAGCCUGGGAAUGAUUCCGGGCUGGGGACAGGUCUAAUUAGUGAACCCAAACUGCUGCUUCCAGCCCUGGCAGGAGAAACAGCAGGCUCAGUCCCUGCUCCAGUGGACUCUUCGAUGUGUGGGACGAGGGGAAAAGGGGCUGGAAAGGAUUCUUUGGUUGUUCACACAGCCCUGUUGGUGGUGUGUGCCAUGUGUGCCAUUGUUUUGGGAAGGCUGUUGUGUGGACCCCAGAUAGCCUCCUAAGAAGACAGUGCAUUUGUGGGCAGAUGUGAGGCCAUGUUGAUCGCAAGCAUGACACAGAGUUUUGGGAUAAGUGCUGAUUGCCGGAGAGAAUCAUGUUCUAAAGCAAUGUCUGUGAAAUCAGAGAGUGCAGACAGCUGCUUUUUUUUGAGACAGGGUCUUGCUAUGUCAUCCAGGCUGAUUUUGAACCUAUGAACUCCACUGAUGCUCCUGCCUCGGCCUCCUGCGCAGCAGGCAUAGACCACUGUACCCAACAAAACAGCCCCGUUUUAAGGGUUCAGUUUUAAGAUUUGGAGACGGAUGGAUUUUCCACCCAAGCUAUCCUUGUGAGGUGAUGCCCUCCCGGUCAGAGGGACUGUAGUCUAGGAUUUUGACCAUCAAUGGAGGACCUGCCGUGUGAUCACCAGGCAUGGACUCCACCCUCACUUUGCGCUUGGACUUUCCAGCUCACAGAGCCGUGAGAACUAAAUGCUGCUUGUAAGCCACCCGUUUUCUGGCAUUUUGUUACAGCAGCCCAAAUGGACUAAGACACUGGGGCUGGCGAGGGCGGAGAGCCCUCUUCCCCUUUUGCCCACUGCUCCUCUUCCCUCUGGACACAGGAGGCAGUGCAACCAUCAGCUGGAGUGACUGACACCAGCUCUGCCCUUACUGGCUGUUCUGGCUCCUCCUGCCCUGACCCUGGAGCAGUCAUCAGGAGGAGGUGCAGGGAUGAAGCCGACCCUGUGAUCCCCUGUGCUGAUGCUGGACACGGUGCGGAUCACGUCCGCUUUCACUACAACCAUCCUUGUUAUUCCUUCUGGCAAAGACCAGAGGCGGGGCCCGGCCUGAGGAGGGCGCUGAGGAGGCUGGUGUGGUGAGAGAAGCUUCUCUGGAGGGUGGCGUGGGUAGUGGGCUGGGGGCGGCAGGAUUUAGG